UUUUAGCCCUGAUGGAAGUGGAAAUCCUUUUUUCGUCAGUUCGAGUUCCUCGCUUUUUUUAGCGAGGAGUAUCGAGAACACGAAAAAAGAUUGUAACGACAGCAGGAAUAUGG
rnacentral:sRNA from 1 species